CUCCAAGGCAAGUGAGUAUGCCUUCUCUCUGCUCACCCUACUUCUAAUUGGCUUAUGUGGAGCUCAUAGGUGGGAAAGACUAUUCAAACCUACUUACAUAUAUUGCAUAGUUAAACCAUAGAUCCAGAGGAACUAAUUAUACAAUCAAGUCAUAUGUGCAUAUGAGGGAAUGAAGUGAAGUGAUAAGAAUGAAAGGGGUUAUGAGGGGUGAUAACUCAUGGUGAAUAUCUAAUUCUACAAUUGCUCCUUGGGGAUAAUAUACCUCCCUAAUCUGAGAAUAAGGACUUGGUUGUCUUUCUUUUCUUUUGCAUUGGGACUUUUCUCCUCUUUCUUUCUUUUCUAUUUUUUUUAGAGAUCAGCCAUCCCUUCUAAUGUACUAAUAACAAUAGGGAGUAUCAACUGAAAUAACUAGAGCUUUAUUGGAUAAGUAGAAUAAGACAUAAUGCGAAUGGAUAUUUUUGGGUAUUCCCUCUUAGUUUCAGAGUAGAACAUUUUUAUAAGUGGAUGUGAAAUGUAUAUGGUUGGAUGAAGGAAUGCGUACUCCCAGGAUAGGAGCAGCAUCAGUGCAUGUCUCUAGGAUAGAAACGGCACCGAGUGUAGUGCGUAUAUGUGGGUGUACUUCCAGGAAUAGAAGUAGCACAUAGUAAAUGUGGUGGAUGUAAGUGGUUGCAUACUUCUGAGGACAGAAGUAGCUAAGAUCAAUGGAUGGAGAGCACAUAAUAUUGACUUUAACUACAUGACUAGUUCCUUAGGGUCUACACAGCUUAACUACCC
rnacentral:lncRNA from 1 species